rnacentral:misc_RNA from 1 species
GAUGAAGAACGUAGCGAAAUGCGAUACGUAAUGUGAAUUGCAGAAUUCAGUGAAUCAUCGAGUCUUUGAACGCACAUUGCGCCCAUUAGUAUUCUAGUGGGCAUGCCUGUUCGAGCGUCAUUAAGUCCACUUAAGCCCUGCUUAGUGUUGGGAGACUGCUCCAGCGGUGCUACCCUGUAGCUACCCUGCAGCUCCUCAAAGACAGCGGCGGAGUUGUGGUAUCCUCUGAGCUUAGUAACUUGUUCUAGCUUUCGAGUACACCACUUCCCCUGCCGUAAAACCCUUAAUUUUUAAUGGUUGACCUCGGAUCAGGUAGGAAUACCCGCUGAACUUAAGCAUAUCAAUAAGCGGAGGA